UUUUGGUGUCACAAAACUGCCAUGAACUCCAGCUGUUGUCUGGAUGCGAUGACCCAGAUACAAAAGAUCAUGUAACCGCUGAAGGCAUCAGUGGCUAAGACUGUAACCAGAGCUCAUAAGGCUGUACCCAUGAAACUCCUUCUAGCAAGAUGUACAAUCUUCAAGGAAACAAUUGACGAUUCCUGACUUGUCUGCCCAAACUAUUCUCAAUCAAGACAAUACAUAAAGAAAAUGAGUCUUCUUACAUAAAGAUAGGUCACAUUAGAAUGGAUAGCAGGGAAGACAGCUUACAUGGUUGAGCACAUGAUGGGAGAGGUACUAUGCCCAUGUUCUGGACACAGAGAAAAAAAUCUUGAAUCUUUCACCUUGAAGAAUUUUGUACUUUUGGAACAGAGACAUGGAUACGUGAAUAAAUCAUAGUGAAUAAAUCAUUAGGUUAUUGUCUCUCUUGGGUAAGUUACUUAAAUAGCUGACCCAAGCUUUUCGACUUCUGUGGCUCCAUCAUCCAUACACAUUCAGUAUUCUUCUUAUUAAAUGUUAUUCUAUAGCAUCUCAGGGUUUUUUACUGGAGUCUUAGAGAGUGCUCUGGAAGAGGGGGCAGAAAGGAUGAAACACAGUGCACUACUUCAAACAGAGAAGUUUCACCAGUGUCUGUUUUACUGACUGUCAUCUAUAUACUUAACAAAAUUAUAUUUUGAAAAACAUAAAGAUUUGACAAAGCGUUGCAAUGCUUUCAUAUGUUAAGUGUCUUCCAGGUCCAAGAUUCUGUGAUGCAGGUUUCUGUGUUUUUUUUUCUUUUUUUUUUUUUUUUUUCAUUUUAUUGCAGUUGGCCUUUUGAUACCAUUUUAAAUUUGGGUAAGAACAGGAGCUCCCACUAAGAUUUGCUUUCCAAUUUCCUUGCAAGAAAAGCCAGAAACAGCUGUUAGACACAGAUUUGAUGGGAGCUUAUCAUGUUUCCAAGCACCAAGAAAAAAUUCUAAACUUAGGGUCCAGCCAUUUCAGGUAGAAGGUUUAUAAACAGAAAUGAAACAUUACAUUGCAUAGUACAAUCAUGGUUAAUCUCAGGGUAUAAUGUUUUAGAUUUUGAAACAUCAUUCUCCCUUUUCUUUUCUCUAUAUGUAUUGGAUUACCCCAUUUUGAUCAUUUCACUGCUCAUUAACAUUUCCAUAAAAAUACAGACCAGAAAAGGAGGCAGAUGUAUAAAAUAUACAUUUAAUGUGUAUUAUUAGUAACUUUUCCUGAAAGUUAGAAUGGAGAAAAAGUUGAAACUAUGAGCUAAUAGAACUUUGAAGUUAUUUAUCAUUUUCAUUUAUUGGUGCCUUGCUACUAUUCAGUGAGCUAAGCAUGGAUAAUUGAGAGUCUGUCAUGAAAUAAGGGUCCUUGAAAUUACAAUUUUAAAUAUAAAUGAUUGUAAAGUCAAGUCAUACACACGCUACUAACUUGUAGUUAUAAUAGAUGGAUUCAAAGAUCUUUUUGCUUAUUCAGGAAUAUGCUAUUUCCUUCUAGUCAGCCACCAUUUAUUUAGUUGGAAAGCAACUGGGGAUAUGAAGACAUAUAAAGUAGGAGAGUAGGAGAAAUAGUAUCAUCUUGGCUGCAAGAAUAUUACAAAAGGAAAACAAGGAGAGAGAUAGACAGAAAGAGAGAGAGAGAAAUAUCCAUAUGAGCCCUAGUCCAGAGUAUAUGAAUACUCUUAACCUACUACAAUAGUGCCUGGCUGAAUGGUUUGUGGUCCAACAGAAAGUAGGCUUUCUAAGGAAUAAAAUAACGAAAUAUUAUUUAGGGGCCAGGUGCAGUGGCUCACACCUGUAAUCCCAGCACUUUGGGAGGCUGAGGUGGGAGGAUCACCUGAGGCCAGGAUUUCAAGACCAGCCUGAGGAACAUAAGGAGACCCCAUCUCUACAACAACAACAACAACAACAACUAAUAAUAAUAAUAAUAAUAAUAAAACAGGAGUGGUAGCACGUGCUUGUAGUCCUAACUACUCAGGAGAUAUGCAAGAAGAUUGUCUGAGCCCAGGAGUUCUACUCUGCAGUGAGCUAUGAUCAUGCCACUUCACUCCAGUGAAGUGUAUAUAUAUAUACACACACACACAGUGUGUAUAUAUAUAUAUACACAUAUAUACUUAUACAGUGUAUAUAUAUACACACA
rnacentral:lncRNA from 10 species